rnacentral:rRNA from 1 species
GACGAACGCUGGCGGCGUGCUUAACACAUGCAAGUCGAGCGGUAAGGCCCUUUCGGGGGUACACGAGCGGCGAACGGGUGAGUAACACGUGGGUGACCUGCCCUCAGCUCUGGGAUAAGCCUGGGAAACCGGGUCUAAUACUGGAUAUGACUCCAUGACGCAUGUUGGUGGGGUGGAAAGUCCUUGUGCGGCUGAGGAGUCGGGCCCGCGGCCUAUCAGCUUGGUUGGGUGGGGUGANGGCCUACCAAGGCGACGACGGGUAGCCGGCCUGA